AACCACAUGCCCAUACAUCCUUACACAGCCUCAAACAGUUCUCGAAAGGCAGUAAAACCAUCAAGUUAUUGAAAUAACAAAUCAUACAAGCAAAAAUCAAACACAAAAAUAAUCCCUGGAUACAAAUCGAAUGGACAGCAUAAGAGCCCUUAAAUAGGCUUAAUCUUGAAAUGUAGUGAGAUGAGAGAGAAGACAAAGCACUUCAAGUCCUGAACAAGGUA
rnacentral:misc_RNA from 1 species